rnacentral:rRNA from 1 species
UACGGAGGGUGCAAACGUUGUUCGGAAUUACUGGGCGUAAAGGGCUCGUAGGCGGCCAACUAAGUCAGACGUGAAAUCCCUCAGCUUAACUGGGGAACUGCGUCUGAUACUGGAUGGCUUGGAUUCGGGAGAGGAAUGCGGAAUUCCAGGUGUAGCGGUGAAAUGCGUAGAUAUCUGGAGGAACACCGGUGGCGAAGGCGGCAUUCUGGACCGAUAUUGACGCUGAGGAGCGAAAGCCAGGGGAGCAAACGGG